AGGCAACUAUUUCACAAUUUCACUUCAAUUUCAUAACUUUUGAUGUCUGUAUUAGUCAGAAGUUGAACGGAAAUGCUAAAUAAGUCUAGCUCGAGAUGCGUGUGCUGGUUUGCCACUGUGCGAUCUGGUUCCUUUUCUCCUCGGGACAAUU
rnacentral:snoRNA from 14 species